CGCAGGCAAAGCAGAGCAGGGGCUGUACCCAGCCAGGUCUUCCUGAGGGUGCGGUGCUCUUGCCAGGCAUGCAAAUGCAGAAAGAGAAAGAGGGCUUGCAGGAAAGGUUGCUUGUUUUUUCUUCCAAGAGGGGCAGGAAGAACAGGGAAUGCUGCAACUGUUUGUUCUGCUGGGGACCCAGCGAGGCCACUGGUGGUGGGUGUGUCGGGCAGAGUGAUGAAAACUUUAGCAUCUGGUAUGUGUGGUUCCUGCUGCUGUUUUUCCUGGCCUUGCUCCUGUCCUGUGGAAUCCUCUUCUGCUUCCAGUGUUGGCUGAAGCAACGGAGCUGCCUUUCCCACCAGCGGACCCUGGCUGUGUUUGCACUCAGCAGCUCUGAUGCCUUUUGCGUGAGUGAAGCACCUCAGUGUCCAUUUUCUGGAUCUCCGAGCUCCUGCAUGAAUGCAGAGGUGUCUUCUUCUCCUGCCCCAUGUUUCAGCCUUGGGGAAGCUGAGUUGCCUCCAUGCUAUGAAGACAUUAUGAAGGGAAACAAACUCUAAGUGCCGCAUGCUGGUUUACUGGAAUUCUACUUGCUUUGUUGGAGAUCUUCCAUUACACUACAGUAGUGUGAGAGCAAAAUCAGACCUUUUCUCAAGUUGGGCAAGAGAAUACCCAUAUUUCAUUUUAAAUUAAAAGGGAAGACAAAAUGUAACAGAAUAAAUGCUAAACACGUAUUGAAUCUGUCA
rnacentral:lncRNA from 1 species